rnacentral:rRNA from 1 species
UACGUAGGGGGCGAGCGUUGUCCGGAUUUAUUGGGCGUAAAAGGCUUGUAGGUGGCCACGUCAAGUCGGAUGUGAAAUCUCCCGGCUCAACUGGGAGGGGUCAUUCGAUACUGGCGGGCUCGAGGCCGGUAGGGGGAAGCGGAAUUCCCGGUGUAGUGGUGGAAUGCGUAGAUAUCGGGAGGAACACCAGUGGCGAAGGCGGCUUCCUGGACCGGUUCUGACACUGAGGAGCGAAAGA